rnacentral:rRNA from 1 species
GACGAACGCUGGCGGCGUGCUUAACACAUGCAAGUCGAACGGAAAGGCCCUGCUUUUGUGGGGUGCUCGAGUGGCGAACGGGUGAGUAACACGUGAGUAACCUGCCCUUGACUUUGGGAUAACUUCAGGAAACUGGGGCUAAUACCGGAUAGGAGCUCCUGCUGCAUGUUGGGGGUUGGAAAGUUUCGGCGGUUGGGGAUGGACUCGCGGCUUAUCAGCUUGUUGGUGGGGUAGUGGCUUACCAAGGCUUUGACGGGUAGCCGGCCUGAGAGGGUGACCGGCCAAAUUGGGACUGAGAUACGGCCCAGACGCCAACGGGAGGCAGCAGUGGGGAAUAGUGCACAAUGGGCGGAAGCCUGAUGCAGCAACGCCGCGUGCGGGAUGACGGCCUUCGGGUUGUAAACCGCUUUCGCCUGUGACGAAGCGUGAGUGACGGUAAUGGGUAAAGAAGCACCGGCUAACUACGUG